UCGACGGAAGUAGCGAUACUUUAGUGGCGAACGGUCGCGUAACACGUAAGUAACCUGCCCGGAAGUUGGGGACAACGGCUCGAAAGAGCCGCUAAUACCGAAUGUGGACGUGGGGUGGCAUCACCUUUCGUCUGAAGCCUGCGGGCGCUUCUGGAUGGGCUUGCGGCCUAUCAGGUUGUUGGUGGGGUAACGGCCUACCAAGCCGACGACGGGUAGCUGGUCUGAGAGGACGAUCAGCCGGAUUGGGACUGAGAU
rnacentral:rRNA from 1 species